rnacentral:rRNA from 1 species
GAUGAACGCUAGCGACAGGCUUAACACAUGCAAGUCGAGGGGCAGCACGAUGUAGCAAUACAUUGGUGGCGACCGGCGCACGGGUGAGUAACGCGUAUGCAACCUACCUAUCAGAGGGGAAUAACCCGGCGAAAGUCGGACUAAUACCGCAUAAAACAGGGGUUCCACAUGGAAAUAUUUGUUAAAGAUUUAUCGCUGAUAGAUGGGCAUGCGCUCCAUUAGAUAGUUGGUGAGGUAACGGCUCACCAAGUCUACAAUGGAUAGGGGUUCUGAGAGGAAGGUCCCACAAACUGGUACUGAGACACGGACCAGACUCCUACGGGAGGCAGCAGUGAGGAAUAUUGGUCAAUGGGCGAGAGCCUGAACCAGCCAAGUCGCGUGAAGGAUGAAGGAUCUAUGGUUUGUAGACUUCUUUUAUAUGGGAAUAAAGUGAGGAACGUGUUCCUUUUUGUAUGUACCAUAUGAAUAAGCAUCGGCUAACUCCGUGCCAGCCGCCGCGGUAA